rnacentral:rRNA from 1 species
UCUAAACCUUUCUUGCGAUGUUAGUGAGCGUUUUCGAUGGAUACGACUACCAUAUCUCAAUUUGUGGUCAUUACAGAUGAGUGGGUGAUGUAAUUCCAACGAUUAUACACGGAAGUCAAGGAUUUUUAGUUGUUCAUGCGUCUGUUUUUAUCCUUCUGCGCAUUUAGAAUCCAUUUCUUCGUCAAUUUUGAUGUUUACGUGAAAAUUUGUCGUGCAUUCCCUAUGAAAUUAUUUGUAUAGUUACAAAAAGUGUUUGAAACAAGAUCCGUCCCACUUAUUUUGUAUUUUGUAUUUUUUUAUAUUAGAUUUAUUUUUAUUUUUUAAUUUUUAAAUAGAAAAUGCUUUCGCAAAAUGAGUUAUAUGCAAAUAGUGUGCGAAUG